GACACGACUUCAUUUAGAAAUGUGUUGGCUUCAUUUACAGCUCGGUGAACGAGGCCAAUUACGUUUGAAGUCGGGGUUAAUUUCAUUUUUUUUCCAUUUACAGCAGCAAUUUCUCUCAUGUAUUUAUCAUCAGGUUUGAUUCAUCUCCAUUUCGCCACUUUGCACCGGGACUGUUUGUUUGCAUGAAAGUGACGAGAAGUGGCAGCGACAGAAAAUGCCGGAGCAGGUGUCAGAACGUUGAUCCAGUUAGGACUAGUGCUGACAUGUGGGGGGGGGGGGCGGGGGGAGUCACAAUUAGAGCUGAUAAUGAACAUGAACUGCAAGACCUCUCCUCUCCUGGCUCUCCUCCCCCACCCGACACCUCCCCCCGCGGCCUAACUGGACCUCCUGCCUCCUCAGACUGUUUCAGAGGAAAACCCUGAGCACCGUGACGGACACACCGCAUAUAACCCAGCUCCACACCUGGGAUAUGAAUUAGCCAAUCGGGGGUUAAAUACCGUGGCCGUGGGCCCGAUGACAAUGCCUCACCUGGGAUCACGACCCGUCGACCCCCUGGAUCACCGCUCUGCUCACCCUGCUGCAAAGAGGCUCUGAUGAGUGAGUGGAAAACAAGAGCUCAUAUCUCAAUAAAGAGAAUGAUUCUUAGAAGAGAUGUUAAAGAUUUCAUCAGAUUUUCAUCAGAGAUCGAUCCAGAGAAACUAAAAGAUGGAUGGUCCUGCAGUUUAUAGAGUGAUAAACCAUCUAUGUGUUAGAUAACUGUAUUUUAUUACUUUAAAUUACAUUUUUGUAAUAAAACAAAACAGUCAGUG